AACUAAGAAACUGGUUGCAAUUAAAGAGAAACAAUCUACUUAAAAUUAUUCUCACUGUAAUAUUGUACAGUAGAAUAUACUCGCUGAAAUAAUAAUCUGAUCGGGCAGAAUAAAACACGUUAUGAAAAAUUUAAUUACACGAUUAUUUCUAUUGGUCAGAAUCUCUAUGAGUGAAAUUAUCGUUGAAAUUCUUGUAAGGAUCAUAAAAUAUAUAUGUUGGCCGAUAGCUAUUGUGGUCGUUCAAGUUUUUGCCAAGUUUAAGCAAGACAACAACUUUGGCUUGUCUCCAGACUUUGGGUAUCUGCAUAGUUUGAAUACAGCUGUUUAUUAACCAGAGAAGCCAUUGUAGAAAUUUUAGACAAGAUUUCGUAAUUAGCUUUGUGAUAUACCUUAUAUUUUUAAUUAGAUUAAAAAUUCUUCGA